rnacentral:lncRNA from 1 species
UGCAUGCUUUUCAAUGGAGGGACCAAGCAGUUUCUUUGUUGGAAAGAAUUUUCUUGACAUGGAUCGAUAAUUGAUGUCAUUGAGUAGAGUGCUGAUCUUAAAGGCCGGUUGCUUCUGAUGUGCUCAGUUUGGUUGCUAUGCUUGCCUGAGAAGGAUUGGCUAGAGUGCAUUGGAGAGUCUUCAGAUACUCUGAGAUCACCACAUGAGCUAUGGGCUAGAUGAAUCUUCGCAUGCCACCGAAUACCGGCCAUUUAUUGCAUAAGAUUC